GGAGGAGGCAUCCAAAGGGAUCGCAUUGAUCCAAAAUCCAACCUCUCAUAUUCUCUCUUCCCACUCACAGUAUUUGGGAUCAUGCUAUCCCUUUGGAUUUCUCCUU
rnacentral:pre_miRNA from 1 species